rfam:Halomicrobium mukohataei DSM 12286, complete genome.
AAAGGCGGCCAUAGCGGCAGGGAAACACCCGUACCCAUCCCGAACACGGACGUUAAGCCUGCCAGCGUUGCGGUGAGUACUGGGGUGUGCGAACCCCUGGGAAAGCCGGUUCGCCGCCUGCC